CCAAUAGCGUAUAUUAAAGUUGUUGCAGUUAAAAAGCUCGUAGUUGAACUUCGGGAUCAAUGAAUUGGUCAUGCCGUUGGUAUGUACUGAUUUUAUUGGUUCUCACCUUCUAAAGAACCAUAAUGUCAUUCAUUUGAUGUUAUGGGGAAUUAGGACUGUUACCUUGAAAAAAUUAGAGUGUUUAAAGCAGGCUCACGCUUGAAUACAUUAGCAUGGAAUAAUGAAAUAGGACAUCGCAUUCUAUUUUGUUGGUUUCUAGGAUCGAUGUAAUGAUUAAUAGGGAUAGUUGGGGGCAUUAGUAUUCAAUUGUCAGAGGUGAAAUUCUUGGAUUUAUUGAAGACUAACUACUGCGAAAGCAUUUGCCAAGGAUGUUUUCAUUAAUCAAGAACGAAAGUUAGGGGAUCGAAGACGAUCAGAUACCGUCGUAGUCUUAACCAUAAACUAUGCCGACUAGGGAUCGGAUGAUGUUGAUUUUUUAAUGACUCAUUCGGCACCUUACG
rnacentral:rRNA from 1 species